GACGAACGCUGGCGGCGUGCUUAACACAUGCAAGUCGAACGGAAAGGCCUCUUUCGGGGGGUACUCGAGUGGCGAACGGGUGAGUAACACGUGAGUAACCUGCCCUUGACUUUGGGAUAACUUCAGGAAACUGGGGCUAAUACCGGAUAGGAGCUCCUGCUGCAUGGUGGGGGUUGGAAAGUUUCGGCGGUUGGGGAUGGACUCGCGGCUUAUCAGCUUGUUGGUGGGGUAGUGGCUUACCAAGGCUUUGACGGGUGGCCGGCCUGAGACGGUGACCGGCCACAUUGGGACUGAGAUACGGCACAGACUCCUACGGGAGGCAGCAGUGGGGAAUAUUGCACAAUGGGUGGAAGCCUGAUGCAGCAACGCCGUGUGCGGGAUGACGGCCUUCGGGUUGUAAACCGCUUUCGCUCAUGACGAAGCUUUGUGUGACGGUAGUGGGUAAAGAAGCACCGGCUAACUACGUG
rnacentral:rRNA from 1 species